UGGGGGAUAUUGCACAAUGGGCGAAAGCCUGAUGCAGCGACGCCGCGUGGGGGAUGAAGGCCUUCGGGUUGUAAACUUCUUUUGCUCUGAACAAGGCAUGCUAAUGGGUGUGUUGAGUGUAGGGGUUGAUUAGCGCCGGCUAACUACGUGCCAGCAGCCGCGGUAAUACGUAGGGCGCGAGCGUUGUCCGGAAUUAUUGGGCGUAAAGGGCUUGUAGGUGGCUGGUUGCGUCUGUCGUGAAAGCUCAUGGCUUAACUGUGGGUUUGCGGGGGGUACGGGCUGGCUUGAGUGCAGUAGGGGAGGCUGGAAUUCCUGGUGUAGCGGUGGAAUGCGCAGAUAUCAGGAGGAAUACCGGUGGCGAAGGCGGGUCUCUGGGCUGUUACUGACACUGAGGGGCGAAAGCAUGGGGAGCGAACAGG
rnacentral:rRNA from 1 species